CUGACAGCAACAACAUGGCGGCGGCCCUGCGGAGGCUGAUCUGCGGGCUCUCUGAGAGAGUUUCUUCUUCUGUGAGCCGGAGAAUGCUGAGCACAGGUCGUAGCUUCCUGCCCCGCCCCCGACCCCUCCCCCUCCUGUUGCUAACAGGCGGUGGUUACCUCGGUUACGAACACUACAGGAGGCGGGGCCCACGGGAAGGAUGGAGCCCCCCCCCCUCCGGCCACGCCCACACAGGUAGGAAACUCUCUUCUUCUUCUUAUUUCUCUCUCCUCCUCUUCUUCCUCCUCAUCCUCCUCUUCUCUUCUUCCUCCUCUCAGAAACACGGUCCGGCUUGUUAGAUUAAUCACAGCUGAAGGAAUCAGUAAUGUAGAGUAGAAGGUCCUGGAAGGGUUAGAAGGUCCUGGAAGGGUUAGAAGGUCCUGGAAGGGUUAGAAGGUCCUGGAAGGUCCUGGAAGGGUUAGGAGGUCCUGGAAGGGUUAGGACGUCCUGGAAGGGUUAGGACGUCCUGGAAGGUCCUGGAAGGAUUAGAAGGUCCUGGAAGGGUUAGGAGUCCUGGAAGGGUUAGGACGUCCUGGAAGGUCCUGGAAGGAUUAGAAGGUCCUGGAAGGUCCUGGAAGAGUUAGAAGGUCCUGGAAGGGUUAGAAGGUCCUGGAAGGUCCUGGAAGGGUUAGGAGGUCCUGGAAGGUCCUGGAAGGGUCAGAAGGUCCUGGAAGGGUUAGGAGGUCCUGGAAGGUCCUGUUCUGAGUCAGGAAACCCCUGAGCAUCAGGGAGCCAAUAUCCUGUGGCUCGCUGGCCGUCACACACACACACACACACACACACACACACACACACACACACACACACACACUCAGACACAGAGACACACACACACACACACACACACACACACACACACACACACACACACUCAGACACAGAGACACACACACACACGUCCCCAGUGCAGCAGAGGAGAGAGACGUUUCUCUUGUUUAAAUGAUGACUAAUAGUCUAUAUACGUUAGAUUUAGUAUUUAGUUCAUACUGUUUUGGGGUAUUAGUUUUCUGAUUUUGACGCUGUAGACCGUUGCCGUGGUUACAUCCCUCCCUAACCCCUCCUGUAGUCCCUACGGCCACGUGGCCAGUGGGAAUGCUGAUGAUAGAUGGUUUUGGGGGAGAGUAGUUAGUAGAUCUGAUUAGGACUGUUCCUGUAACUGCUGGGUCAGACACGAUGGUCCUCUCACUAUAGUGCUGUUGUUCUUCCAGGCUUUGCUCCAUCGUUACCUCAACUCAACUCAAAGAAAGAAAGAAAAGAACAAUCCUGCUGCAUUCUGUCUCCAUCACCUAGUUAGGCGAAGAUCGGCCUUUAGGGGGCGCUAAGCAACGCUUAUUUGACUUAACUCCAAAAUAAUAAUAAUUUAUUGUAGUGUGUGUGUGUGUGUGUCUGUGUGUGUGUGUGUGUGUGUGUGUGUGUGUCUGUGUCUGUGUGUGUGUGUGUGUGUGUGUGUGUGUGUGUGUGUGUGUGUGUGUGUGUGUGUGUGUGUGUGUGUGUCGUGUGUCUGUGUGUGUGUGUCUGUGUGUGUGUCUGUGUCUGUGUCUGUGUGUGUGUGUCUGUGUGUGUGUGUGUGUGUGUGUGUGUGUGUGUGUGUGUGUGUGUGUGUGUGUGUGUGUGUGUGUGUGUGUGUGUGUGUGUGUGUGUGUGUGUGUGUGUGUGUCUGUGUCUGUGUCUGUGUGUGUGUCUGUGUGUGUCUGUGUGUGUGUGUGUGUGUGUGUGUCUGACACUUGGUCAAACUACUAACCCAGAGUCACUAUCUACUCUUCCCGGGUCAAACAGUAUUGACUCUUUAAUCUAUUUCAUUUAGGUGCAACACUGCAGGCGUCCUACUAAUCCCC
ensembl:lncRNA